UGGGGAAUUUUGGACAAUGGGCGCAAGCCUGAUCCAGCCAUGCCGCGUGCGGGAAGAAGGCCUUCGGGUUGUAAACCGCUUUUGUCAGGGAAGAAAUCUUCUGAGUUAAUACCUCGGGAGGAUGACGGUACCUGAAGAAUAAGCACCGGCUAACUACGUGCCAGCAGCCGCGGUAAUACGUAGGGUGCAAGCGUUAAUCGGAAUUACUGGGCGUAAAGCGUGCGCAGGCGGUUUUGUAAGACAGAGGUGAAAUCCCCGGGCUCAACCUGGGAACUGCCUUUGUGACUGCAAGGCUUGAGUGCGGCAGAGGGGGAUGGAAUUCCGCGUGUAGCAGUGAAAUGCGUAGAUAUGCGGAGGAAACACCGAUGGCGAAGGCAAUCCCCUGGGCCUGCACUGACGCUCAUGCACGAAAGCGUGGGGAGCAAAACAGGAUUAGAUAGCCCUGGUAGUCCACGCCCUAAAACGAUGUCAACUGGUUGUUGGGAAGGUUCCUUCUCAGUAACGUAGCUAACGCGUGAAGUUGACCGCCUGGGGAGUACGGCCGC
rnacentral:rRNA from 1 species